UUGUGGCCCUAGGCUCCCUGGCAAUAUCGCUGACCUAUUAUAUAUACUGACUCACCUGGCUUGCAAAAGCCUGAGCUCACAGCUCCUGCAGCUUCUGCUAGACCUCUUCCUUCAGUUUCUAUGAGUCUUGGAUGAGGCACGUGUGCAGCAUCAUGGUGAAGGGCAACAGCUUAUUUUCCAGUCUCUUGCAUCAGGUUAGAGAUGAUGAGAAACAAAUGGAGGCUCUGGUUUGUCCUCACAGGUUCUAAUUUGUCUUUUUCUUUGUUGCUUUCUGUCCAGGUUUCUUCCCAACUGCUGCCCUGCUCACCUAUAGCAGUUGGUUUCAGGCUCACCACUAGAUUUCCAUAAACUUCUUCCCCAGCUACCUCCGUUGCAUAAAAUGGACCAGUACUACGCAUACUGUUUUAUGCCUAGCUUUUUCACUUAACAAUAUAUCAUGGACACUCUUCAGGAGCAACCUGAGAAGCAUUUGUCUUGCCACUAUUUGGAAAGCUCACUUAGUCUUCUGGAUGGCAGAGAUUAUGCCCUUAAUCUUGGUCCUGAGCCAUUGAUCUUGAGAGGAACCAGGCGAGCCCAUUGCUUCUACUGAAAAGUGUAUCUAAGUGUUGACCUCUGGAUAGGUGCCUGAUGGUUACUCCAACUGGUGAUGAGGGAAGAGGAAUAAAAGGUUAGACACACCCUGUUACAGGACUGAGGGCGGGGAGCAGUGCCUAUCCUAGGAAGUGUUUCUAUUCAAAUCUCGUUUAGGUGGGCAGGAAGGACAAGGUUUUGCCAGGCAACUGCCCUCAUCUCAGCAAAACAAGCUUCCUCCCUACCCCAUUCUCCUGUUGGCUAGCACAGUGCUUGUCCUGAAAAACAGGGUCCACAGAAAAAGAGUAGCAGCCCCUUUUGAUCUCUGCUUUUUAUUUGUAACAAACUGCUUUUUGACCUUCUAAGCAAGAGCUACCACACAGAGAGCUGUUUGAGUCUCUGGAUCAGGAAUUCAGGCUUGAUGUGUGGGUUAUAAGUUUUCUGAUGUCAACAAAAAUUUACCUAGAGAUUUACCAAGAUGCUGUUCCAGAGAUUUUCAUUGUAAAGGAAAAUUAUUGUGGAGAAAAUUAAAAGGUAUAGCAACAGCCUGAUGUUCACUUCUUGGAAAGUAUAGAAAAUAGUGAUGAAACAUGAGUAUAUAGGUAUAUAGAUACAGUUUUGAAACUUUGUUAAAGUAUAGCAUACACACAGGAAAGUGUCUAGACCAUAAGUAUACACUCUGAUGAAUUUUCACAAGCCAAAAACAUCCAUGUUACAACUUAAGAAUGAAGAAUUAUGAAAAUUCAAGCAUCUUGUGUUAUUCCUCUUAAAUAUUUUCGUUUAAAAUUGAGCUGAAAUAUUUAAGAAUCUAAAAAACAUGACAACCUCCUAUUUCCAACUUACAAAUGUAAAAUUGUAGAAGCACUGAAGAAAUGCUUGUUAUUAAUAAGAAAUGUUAUUAUUUCAGCAUUUUUACCAUGUAGCUCCAGAUGUUAAAACUGUAUGUUGCACAUUCUUGAUGUUUAUACAACUGUCACAUAGAUCAUGAUAAUUUAGAGCAAUUUGUCUCAGCCUCCUCUGUGCAGUCUCCUGGUCGGUUCCACAUAUGCUCUAUUUCUCCUUAGUGCUUCUCUGGCACUUCAGGCAGAAGUAACUUAACCUCUCAAGGCCUCGGUUGUCACAGCUGUAGAUGGGGCACAAUAACUGUACACACAGGAUUGUGCAUAUGAAAUUAUAAAAUGUAUAUAAAGAGGUGUACGUGACAUUUGCAUGUAGGAAUACGUUAAUGAAUGUUGUUUGUUAUUAGUACAUUAUGAAUGCCAAUAUCAGUUAAUGCCAUUGCUUCUGGGUUUGGGGAAGCAACAGAAAUAGCCACAUAAUUGUACUGACUAUGUAAUGUUCUUUUUCAGGACAGCCUAGGCCUGAAGUGAGGUUGCCAAAGUUAUGUUCUUUAUAGAUGGAAUAUGUUUCCUCUAGUGAGAGGCAGUUUACAUGUAGGCUUGUGGUUAUUAAUGUUUUUAACUGAUGAAUUAUGUUGGAAUUGGUGUAUCUCUGCAAAGAAUAUUUCCAAAUGGUCUUAAAGGAAUGUCAUGUAGCAUUUAUUACAGUCAUUGCAAUAGGGACACCUCCCACCUGCUUUAAUUUAGUGACAUUACUUCUGGUUAAAAGCCUUAGGUAAGGCCACACACAGUGGCCAGUGAUUUGGAUAAUUAGAAGGAAUGGCAGAGGCCUGUCUCUUUACAAGGAAGUUAGCAGUGACAUGCAAUUAAAGCAAACCUUUGGGGGAAGCCAGGUACCUCUAAGGAUUAUAGUAGAUUGGGUCAAAUCAAACAAUAUUUAUAGAAUUCUCUCCUUUCACAAAGAAUUUCUGCUUGCUUAUUUUUAAUAAAUUAUUUCAGAGAUAAUGAUGUUAUUUUACAUAAGUAGAGCAAGAAGAAAAGUAUAACUUAAGCUUUAUUUUCUCAUAAUUUUUUGUACUACACAGGCCAGCUGCAAACAGUUCACCUGAUGAAGCAUCUGAACCUUACAUUAUCAUGUAUGUAUUGGUGUGGUGUUUUCUGCUUUAAAAGGUGCUUUCACAUCCAUUACCUAGUACAAUCCCCACAACUGUAAGAGGCAAGGGAAGGAGUUAUUAUGAUGUCCUCUUCAAACAAAUAAAUGGAAGCUGAGCUCUGAUAAGGCAUUUGUCAUAGUCCUUUUAUGGUUGAGGCAAGACUAAAAGUUGAGUUUUAUGACUCAUGGUGUAAUGCUCUUUCCAACAUAUGGAACUGUUUUCUCAAACAUAAAUGUAUGUUCUUACUUUCUGUGCUUUCCAAGAGUACAGUUUUCUUUCUCUCCCUGAGAUGCUGGGGUGGUCAUGAGUGCCUUGGAGAAUAAGCUGAAAGCCCUAGACUUUGUCUUCAGAGAAAAAAUGGACAUACUCACACAGGUAAAAAUUGACAUUCACCUUCAGGCCGUCUCCUAAAAUCUGCCUGGGUAAUAGAAUAGGGUGUCUGGUAAAAUACUAGCCUGGGCUUGACUCCAGCCGGGUGGGGGCACCUGGCGUUCUCAGUAAAGAAGACAAAAGCAGGAGCCAGCAUACCAUUAAUGUUUACUUAGCCCUUACUCAACACUAGGUGCUGCACUGCACACGUCAUGUUGGUUCAAACCCCACAACAACUCUUGAAGCUGAGUGUUAUUAUUGGAUUCAUUUUAUGGAUGAGGACACUAAGAACAUCUCACCUGAAUUCGAAGCCAGAUGUCCACUUUCCCCCACUCUGCUACACAGCCUCCCAAAGUGAUAACUACGUGUCAGUGCUGAGUUGUUUCUCUGGUCGCUGGCCCAUGCCUGUGUGCGGUGGUGUGGCUGGGAAGGUGGAAAGGGUUUUUUUUUUUUUUUUUUUUUUGAAGCUUUUAGCAGUAAGGUUCCUUGGGGAAAUUGUGUUCUUGGGGGUGCCAGGUUAGAACUGUUAACGACCGUAGAAAUGUGAAGUGUGAAAAGUGUUCAGAUACAGGGACAGAAAAGAACAGGGCAGCAUCCAAUGGGUGGUCCAUUUCUCCUGGGACAUGUGUUGGAUGUUCAGCUGUCAUAUUAAUGUUUAUGUAUACCAUGCUACAUGUUCUCGCUGACUUGGCAAAUGAUUCACAAAGUUACUGAAAUGAAUGAAGUAAACUUCUCAUGGGUAGACCUGGGGCUGGGGAAAAGGAAAAGGGAAGUGCCUACAUUUGGGGUUUCCUGAACCGUAAAUAAUGAUCGUGUUGCCAUUCCCAGCAAUAUGCUUCUGUCAUUAAUUAAGUUUUAUGGAAAGCUAUGGCGUUCAUGACUUUGGCCUCUUCCCGCUCUUGAUCUAUGUGGUGUUAUGUGGUGUAGACAGCAGUGCUCAUAGGUGGGAUUUGUCUGACAGGGGGAUUUGAAUUAGUCUGAUGUAAAGUGCCUGCUAAUAUAUGGCAUGCCACUGCACUGGGUGAGUAGGAAGGGAGAAAGCAAUGAUGAUGUUCCCCCCUGUUGCCGCUGAUUAUUUUUCCAGCACCUAUACAAGGAAUCAGAAUCCUGUUUUUUGUUAGGCUUAAUUUUAAGGUCAGAUUUUUUUCUGGUGUCGUUGAGAGAGUUGGGCUGCCACUCAGAUUCAGCAGCGUGGUGCUGUGUACUUGAGAGAAGGGUCCAUAAGGUUGGGAGUAGCGGGAGAUACUGGCCCCUCCGCACUCAUCAGGCUCAAACAUGUUCAAGACCCCAGCAAAAGAAGUCUGAGUGGAGCUUUUUGAGGUGGCCUACACCAGUGUUAACAAUGCUGCCAAAAAAUUAUCUCUCACCAUUGACCUAAAGCCCUCCUGCUAGGUUUUCAGAGCAGUGGUUUUUAAAAUAUUAGCGUACAUCAGAUCACCCGAAAGGCUUGUUAUAGCACAAAUUGCUGGUCCCCCUGCUCAGAGUUUCUGAUUUCAUAGGUCUACGGUGGUACCUGAGAAUCUGCAUUUGUAACAAGGUCCCAGGUGAUGCUGAUGGUGCUGUUUCAGGAGCCAAACUUUGAAAACUACUGCCUUAAACUGACUAUAAGGGCAGCAGUUAAUAAUAUGGGUUUGGGAGUUAGACAGCUCUGAAUUCAAAUCCUGUUCUGCCACUGUGAAAUUCUAGAAAAGCUGCCAAGCCCAGGCUUCCUCACCUGUAGAAAGGGAAUUACAAACGUUUUGUUUGUUCUGUUUUGGUUUGGUUUCGUGAGGACUGAAUGAGAUAAUCUAUGUGAAGUGCUUAGCACAGUGCCAGGCACAUGGAGGUGACAUUACAGAUGUGAGCUCAUGCUAUUGAUAUAUUCUGCCUCUUAGAGCAAGGCCUCAAGUAAUGUGGCCCGCAUGUUAGGGCAAAGACACCAAGCUUAAGGAAUCUCUUUAAAGUUAAGAAGUCAGAGAAAAUGUAGGAGAGAAGAAUCAGUAAAACGAAGACCAUGGGACUUCUAUUCCUUAAGGCUUUCUGAUGUCUUGGGAAAUAGAAAAGAAAACAAGCAAAGGUAUCUAUUUUGUAAUAAGCAGUGAGAAAGUCACUCUCCACCAAGAGAUGCCUUAGGAAGAUGGGAUUGAAAUGGGAAUCCUGAACUGACCAUUGGGGCUAUUAGCAUUUCACAUGUAAAUUCCAAUAAAGUGUCAGAUAUGCAGAGGUUAGUGGACUUUUUUUCUAAAUGGGCUUUAUAAGUAAAAGGAUAAAGGUUACACAAACCAGGGAGAGCAGCAUACAACAGAGGGAUGCAGCAUUUUGUACAAGUGUGUUAGUCGGGAUUCUCCAGAGAAACAGAGCCAAAGAAGAUAGAUAUUUAUCUAUGUAAAUACAUAGAUAAUAUAUUUUUGGCCCAUGUCUUAUGCAAUUAUGGAGGCUGAGAAGUCCCACGAUCUGUAAGCUGGAGACCCAGGAAGUCUGAAGGUGUCUUUUGAAGUCCUGAGAGCUGGAGAGCUGGAGACUGGUGUAGAUUCCAGUCUCAGUCUCAGAGCCUGAGGACCAGGAGUGCUGAAGGCAGAAGAUUGACAUUCAGCUCAAGGAGUCAGAAAGCAAAUUUAACUUUCCUCUGCCUUUUUGUUCUAUUCACUCACUCAACAGAUUGGAUGAGUCAUGACUACAAUGGGGAGGGCAAUUUGCUUUCCUCAGUCUACCAAUUCAAUCUGAUCUCUUCCAGAAACACCCUUCCAGGCAUACCCAGAAAUAAGUUUAACCAGCUAUCUGGGCAUCCUUUGGCCCAGUCAAGUUAACACAUAAAAUUAACCAUCACAACAUGAGACAUAUAUUUACAAAGAUACUGUGUGCUGGGGCCAGUUAUGAAGCAAGUAAUGUUUAUCAUCCUGGAGCCAACCCACAACUGUCUUCAUCUUAUUUCUGGAUUUUGAUGGGCUCUUUGCUCAGUGGAGUGAAUUGUAACUUUCUAUCUCCUCAAGCUCUACCCCACUGGCAAAAUAAUUACCGAGAAAAUAUUUACAAAAAUUAAUUGCUAGCUAGUGUAAAUUAUAUCUUAAACUAUGACUACUCCCUAGGAUAGUAUUUUCCAAACUGUGUUUCCAGGGACUAUGAAUAGGUAAUGGGUAGAACAGGCAUUCUUGAUGAAACACACAAAUGUUCUUGUCAAGAACACCCAAGGAUCUCAGAAGUCCUGAAGUUUUUUUAAAAACUCUGCUUAAUUUUGAUUAACUCAGUGGUGAUUGUCCCUUUUUAAAAAUUGUAUCUGUAUUUUAAAAUUUUUUCUAUAAUGAGUUAGUAUUACUUUUAAAAGAAAAUAUGGAUCAGAUUUUACUAGAAUGAAAAAGAAUAUAAUUUAGGCCACCAAAUGUAGCUUCUAGCUUUCUUUAGUCUCCACCCUAUUCUUCCUUUACUUCUGUGGGGGAACCAAGGACAGCAUGAUGUCAGAUUCUAAAAUAACAAAUGCUUCAUAAAAUUUCCUUUUUGAAAAGAUAACUGAAUUAGGAUAGUUUGUAUAACCAUUGAAUGAUUCAGAUGCUUGCCCUUUUGGGAAUCCCCUUCAUCCAAGUUAAAGGAAUGAAGCAACAAGCCAUCUGUGCAAUUAACUGCUCAACCUAAUUACUCUAAAGAAGUGAGUCAGUCAAAUCCUGGGACAUUCAAAACUUCCAGUGGACAGGGGUGCCACAGAAUCUGGGAACCACAUUCAACUUUUCUAAGCUUGAGCUUAGACAGCUGGUCAGAGAUGUUAUGGCUACAUUUGUAGGCAACAACUCAAGGAACUGGCUUUUCCUGAGAAAGGAGAUUUUCUCCCCAGAUUGCUUUCAGAACAAACCGUAAAGGGAUAACCCCACAUUCUUUGAAAAUCUUUAUUCCUGAGAAGUGUUUAAAAAUUUUCAAGUGGGGCAUGGUGUGAUCUAUAGGCUAUUCUUCGCGAGGAGGGACCGUUUGGUGUGUCUGAAAUCUUGAGGAUAAUCAAGGACCCAACACUCUUAGGUGAAAUGCCUUUGGAGAGAAACUGAAGUCUGCUACAAUUAGAUUAGAAAGAAACACGUUUGACAUUCUAGAAAGCAAAUUUAGGCUGUUGAAUCCAACAGUGUGGGACAAUGUUUCCAAUUGGCAAUGAAUAGGCUAAAUGAUUCUUGUCUCUCUUUGGUGGAAGUGAAAUAGAAUACUAAUUGAGCAAGUAUCACUCAGAUAAGCAAAGUAAAUUGGACUUCAGUCUCUAGUGGGUUUUGAGGUUAUGACCACACUUUGAGCUCCUGGAGGGGUGCCACUCCAGGUAACAAUAGGCCAUUUGGGCUUUCCUGAACGGGGACCUUCAGGCAGAAUAAAUUCAAACUUAAGAAAAGUCGGGCAGAGGAGAUACUGUGCUGACCUGCCCAGAACACUGACGAUUUAAUGACAAGAACUGGCAAGUGUAAUUUUGGUUAAAAUGUAAUUUCUUACUGGAAAAAAAUGGUUUUUGUCUUAAACAAUUUGGAAAUUUAAUGAAAAAUUCAAUAUUCUUCAUUCUUAAGUAGUCUGCCCUUCAGUAUAAAACGGCCAAAUAUCCCCUACCAAAAAGAAGAACAAGGAGAUAGAGGAAAAUGAGAGCUGGGCAAGGACCACACUGUCACGAAUGGUACACUGAGCACCACUGCAGUGCCCAUCCCAUGCACCUGGCCAACAGCAAUGGUGGAACCUAGUACCCAGCAAAGUGCAUGCUGAGCUUUCUUCUGCCUCAUGGUACCAGAAGCAAGUUUCAGUGACGCGUGUUCCCUCUCAUUCCUUGGGACAAAUUGUCCUAGUGAGAGAAAGCUCUAAUACUCAUGCACAAGACAUUCCAUGACAGUAACGAUAACACUUACUCACAUUUACAUUUAUAUGUCUGGUCUUUUCUCUAUCUGUUUCUCAGAAAGAAAACUCAAAUACCGGACUGUCUGGUUUAAAACCAGACACAUGGCAACCCUAUUUACUAAAACUUUACUGCUGGGCACUGUGCUAUUUGCUUUCACAUAUAUUGUGUCUUAUUCAAUCCUUGUAAUGGUUCUGUGAGUAAAGUAGGAUUCCUAUUUUACAGAUGAGGAAGCUAAAGCUCAGAGAGGUUAAGUAGUGUGCUUACAGUCACCCAGAUAGUUAUUGGAUAUGGUACUGUGACCCUAGAAUGUUUGACCUUACAUUUCUUUAUUUUUCUUUGAUAUUUGAUGCAUUGAAAUGAUUCAAGAGUUCUUGAAAUCUGUCAUCAAGUUUUUCCUUGGUUGAAGUUUGGAUAUGGAACACUUCAAAACAUAAUAGCACCCUUGGGAUCUCAGAAAGUAUGUUGUCUAUGAAGUAUUAGGAAAAGAUUCGAAGAGUGGCAUCAAUAAUCAACUGUUAAUAAAUUUGAAAGAGCCACAUUUUGCAAAAAAACAAAAAGAAAUUCCACCAACAAGACCAUGAAAGGCUGAAAGAAUUACAGGCUUUGACAAUGAAUGGUAUCCCCAUGCCUUGGUCAGGAGCCAUCUCAGAGUCUCAUCUUAGUAAGUUGCAAAAUCUGCCCAAUUGCUGUCACCUAUUGGCUACUGGAUACCUAGUUUGAUUAGAUUUUCAGGCUCUUUAUUGUUUCCUUUUAAAACUUUCAAAUGAUUUUGUGCAAUGAAUGGAACCAGAUGGAAAUACACUGAUACCUCUUUCAUCUUCCUAAGCAAAUGCCCAGGGAAAUCAUGUGACAGUUUUCCAAUUGCAGAUUUUUCCAAUGGUGUGAAUCUUUUAGGCCAGGAUUCCUGGAGGUGUGAACCGAUUUUUUCCCAAGAGACUUUUCACUGUCCCUUGCACUGACAAAUUGGAGCUUCCUGUGAAGGUAGCAUUUCACAACAAAACUUCAAGAACUAUCAGCUGUAUUACUGAUACAAACUUGACUAAUUCGUCUCUGUUUCAAUCUUGGGCAAUAAAAAGUACUUCUGAAAUAAUGUUGUCUUAAAAAGUGUCUUUAUUCAUUUUAGAGUUGACUUAUGGUUGCAUAUAUAGCCAUUUCUACUUUCAAUUUAGCCAGAGGCAUUUUUUCUUGAACUUCUGAAGAUGAUACAACUCCUAGAUUUUACUGUCGUAGUGCCAGGUUGUGGGAACUCUUCCUUGACUUCACUUUAAUAGGUGUGAAGAGUGCAUGACUGUUCUGCUUUUGAAUUUGCAUUUGGACUGCUGAAUUUGUACGCAGAGCACCGAUGAAAUUCUUGGCAGCAUGAGCAAAAGUUGGUUUAUCCACGAUGACAUGCAGGCUUUCUGGGGAUGAGUAUUUCCUUUUAGUAAGAGCAGACAGCCCGUCUAUUAGAAGCUGCCCCCUAGUUUCUGAGGCACAUGGAGCUAGACUAGGGUAUUUUAUUGGGUCAUUAGAAAUGUGACAUUUGGAUUGACCAACAGGCUCAGAAAUUCCCCAAAUUGUAGGGUUGAGAAAAGGGUGCAGUUCUUGGUAGUGUAAUACCCUCAUCAGUCUGUGGAUUCUUUUUAUGAAAUUUAAGUUCCUUAACAAUAAUUGAUAGAACAGAUAAUAAGCCCUUUUGCAAACAAUCUGAUGUGUUAUCAAAUACCCUCAUCUUAAAUGAAACAAGAAUAGUGAGAGGCUUUAGAAGAACAUAUGUUGUG
rnacentral:lncRNA from 1 species